UACGGAGGGAGCUAGCGUUAUUCGGAAUUACUGGGCGUAAAGCGCACGUAGGCGGCUUUGUAAGUAAGAGGUGAAAGCCCGGAGCUCAACUCCGGAACUGCCUUUAAGACUGCAUCGCUAGAAUUGUGGAGAGGUAAGUGGAAUUCCGAGUGUAGAGGUGAAAUUCGUAGAUAUUCGGAAGAACACCAGUGGCGAAGGCGACUUACUGGACACAUAUUGACGCUGAGGUGCGAAAGCGUGGGGAGCAAACAGG
rnacentral:rRNA from 1 species